rnacentral:rRNA from 1 species
AGUGAACGCUGGCGGUAGGCUUAACACAUGCAAGUCGAACGGCAGCACAGUAAGAGCUUGCUCUUAUGGGUGGCGAGUGGCGUACGGGUGAGGUAUACAUCGGACUCUACUUUUUCGUGUGGCUUCACGUAGGUAAACCUACUCUCAUAUCGCAUACGACCUUCGGGUGAAAGCAGGGGAUCUUCGGACCUUGCGCGGUUGAAUGAGCCGCUGUCGGAUUGGCUAGUUGGCGGGGUAAUGGCCCACCAUGGCGACGAUCCGUAGCCGGUCUGAGAGGAUGGUCGGCCGCACUGGAACUGAGACACGGUCCAGACUCCUAAGGGAGGCAGCAGUGGGGAAUGUUGGACAAUGGGCGCAAGCCUGGUCCGACCAGACCGCGUGGGUGAAGAAGGCCUUCGGGUUGUAAAGCCCGUUUGUUGGGAAAGAAAAGCAGCAGGUUAAGACCCCGCUGUUCUGACGGUAACCAAAAAAGAAGCACCGGCUAACUUCGUG